rnacentral:rRNA from 1 species
CUGGAGACAGGUGCUGCAUGGCUGUCGUCAGCUCGUGUCGUGAGAUGUUGGGUUAAGUCCCGCAACGAGCGCAACCCUUGCCUUUAGUUGCCAGCAGUUCGGCUGGGCACUCUAAAGGGACUGCCGGUGUUAAACCGGAGGAAGUGGGGAUGACGUCAAGUCCUCAUGGCCUUUAUGACCAGGACUACACACGUACUACAAUGGCCGAUACAAAGGGCAGCGACACUGCGAGGUGAAGCCAAUCCCGUAAAAUCGGUCUCAGUCCGGAUUGGAGUCUGCAACUCGACUCCAUGAAGUUGGAAUCGCUAGUAAUCGUGGAUCAGCAUGCCACGGUGAAUACGUUCCCGGGCCUU